rnacentral:rRNA from 1 species
UACGUAGGGGGCAAGCGUUGUCCGGAUUUAUUGGGCGUAAAGAGCGUGUAGGCGGCCCGGUAAGUCCGCUGUAAAAGUCAAAGGCUCAACCUUUGAAUGUCAGUGGAUACUGCCGGGCUAGAGUCCGGAAGAGGCGAGUGGAACUCCUGGUGUAGCGGUGGAAUGCGCAGAUAUCAGGAAGAACACCAACGGCGAAGGCAGCUCGCUGGGACGGUACUGACGCUGAGACGCGAAAAGCGUGGGGGAGCGAACAGG